rnacentral:rRNA from 1 species
GAUGAACGCUAGCGGGAGGCCUAACACAUGCAAGCCGAGCGGUAGAGUUUCUUCGGAAACUUGAGAGCGGCGCACGGGUGCGUAACACGUGUGCAACCUACCUUUAUCUGGGGGAUAGCCUUUCGAAAGGAAGAUUAAUACCCCAUAAUAUAAUGAUUGGCAUCAAUUAUUAUUGAAAACUCCGGUGGAUAGAGAUGGGCCCGCGCAAGAUUAGAUAGUUGGUGAGGUAACGGCUCACCAAGUCAAUGAUCUUUAGGGGUCCUGAGAGGGAGAUCCCCCACACUGGUACUGCGACACGGACCAGACUCCUACGGGAGGCAGCAGUGAGGAAUAUUGGACAAUGGGUGAGAGCCUGAUCCAGCCAUCCCGCGUGAAGGAUGACGGUCCUAUGGAUUGUAAACUUCUUUUGUACAGGGAUAAACCUACCCUCGUGAGGGUAGCUGAAGGUACUGUACGAAUAAGCACCGGCUAACUCCGUG